GAUGAAGAACGCAGCGAAAUGCGAUAAGUAAUGUGAAUUGCAGAAUUCAGUGAAUCAUCGAAUCUUUGAACGCACAUUGCGCCCGCCAGUAUUCUGGCGGGCAUGCCUGUUCGAGCGUCAUUUCAACCAUCAAGCCCCAGGCUUGUGUUGGGGACCUGCGGCUGCCGCAGGCCCUGAAAACCAGUGGCGGGCUCGCUGUCACACCGGGCGUAGUAGAUUUUAUCUCGCUCAGGGCGUGCUGCGGGUUCCGGCCGUUAAAAAGCCUUUUUUACCCAAGGUUGACCUCGGAUCAGGUAGGAAGACCCGCUGAACUUAAGCAUAUCAAUAAGCGAGA
rnacentral:misc_RNA from 1 species